rnacentral:rRNA from 1 species
UACGAAGGGGGCUAGCGUUGCUCGGAAUUACUGGGCGUAAAGGGCGCGUAGGCGGAUGUCUUAGUCAGAGGUGAAAGCCCAGGGCUUAACCUUGGAACUGCCUUUGAUACUGGACAUCUUGAGUACGGGAGAGGUGAGUGGAACUCCGAGUGUAGAGGUGAAAUUCGUAGAUAUUCGGAAGAACACCAGUGGCGAAGGCGACUCACUGGCCCGUUACUGACGCUGAGGCGCGAAAGCGGGGGAGCAAACAGG